CAGCCGCCACGGUAAUACGAAGGGUGCAAGCGUUAAUCGGAAUUACUGGGCGUAAAGCGUGCGUAGGCGGUUUGUUAAGUCUGCUGUGAAAUCCCCGGGCUCAACCUGGGGAUGGCAGUGGAUACUGGCAAGCUAGAGUGUGUCAGAGGAUGGUGGAAUUCCCGGUGUAGCGGUGAAAUGCGUAGAGAUCGGGAGGAACAUCAGUGGCGAAGGCGGCCAUCUGGGACAACACUGACGCUGAGGCACGAAAGCGUGGGGAGCAAACAGGAUUAGAUACCCGUGUAGUCCCUGUCUCUUAUAC
rnacentral:rRNA from 1 species